UCGAAUAGCACCGAACGGCUCCGAUCAUCAACGAAGUACAGCCUUAGCGCCACGCAAAGUUGCUCUCCUCAAUUCAAGUCACUCGGUCCUCGACCGUCGGUCGAGCCGUAAUGUAAGGGGGAAGAAUGCAGACUGGGACACUGACACUGGGCAAUUAUCAGACUGGGCCUGGAAAAUUAUUGGAAGACGUAAAUCUUACCUGAAACAAAAAAUACAAAGAAAGACUGAAAAUUAAAUUUUUUAUCACAAUUCGCAACCGAGUCUACCCCAAUUUGUGGCCAGUGCAACUGAGAGAUCGUCAACUUCCACAUCCGUUUUCUCGCACCUGGAUAACUUUCUUUCUCCAAAUUUGGUUGUUUUUGAUUUAGCAAGACUUCGUUUC